CUUUUUGUGCAUAAUGUAUAUAUAGGGGGGUGGUAGUACUCUUGGGGUACACAGGCAUGUGUUGGGAUGGCAUGCUAAGGCACGUGCUGGUAUGGCAUGCCAAGGACAAGCAUGUGCUAGGAAGGUAUGCCAAGGCCAAGUCCAAGGCAAGCAUAUGCAUCGUGAUCGAGACUGGACGGUUACGAGCACCCCAAGAGUGCCCAAGGGAGAGGAAAGGGGUGUCAAACGCAUGCUGAGCCCCACUUCAGUAGUUUGGCCCAUGUCGCGAAUAGGUUGGCUUAUCGAUGGUUGCUUGUUGGGAGUGCUGGGUUUACGGUCGCGUUUUUCUUACCAAUGGGGGCCCAUCCUUCAUUGCACGCACUAGUUGGUGGAUGCCUUUAAAGAGUAGCGUUGCUUGCUUGUUGUCAUGCGUUAUGCUUGGUUCGUGCAUGGCCCCAUAGGUAUUCAGGCAAGCGUGCCUAUGGGUAAAGUCGCUUGAGCUUGCCAACAGCCAUGUUAGCUAUAGUUUGGACCGAUGAUGGCACAAGGAUGCUUGCUUUAAGGUAACACUCCGGCAGCACAGCCAGCCCGCAAUUGGUAGUUCAAGCUGGUGGAAUCUGCCUAUAGGGGUGUUGCUUGCUUGCUGUGGAUUUGGGACACGCCUAAUAUCUAUCAUCGACCAGACGUAGUUCCUGCAUGGCCCCAUAGGUAUUCAGGCAAGCGUGCCUAUGGGUAAAGUCGCUCGAGCUUGCCAACAGCCAUGCUAGCUAUAGUUUGGACGGAUGAUGGCACAAGGAUGCUUGCUUUAAGGUAACACUCUGGCAGCACAGCCAGCCCGCAAUUGCUAGUUCAAGCGGGUGGAAUCUGCCUAUAGGGGUGUUGCUUGCUUGUGGUGGAUUUGGGACAUGCCCAAUAUCUAUCAUUGACCCAACAAAGUGCUCAACAUGGGUUGCUGAUGGCUAUUUUGGCACUGAUGGUUCACUAGUUUGGUUGGCUUUGAUAAACGUUUAGAUGUCAUGAUGCUUGUGAUCCAAUAAAUUUAUGUGGGAAGCUGAGAGCUGGAACCUUAUGUCAUUCACCAGACGGCUUAGCUUCGUCAGUGUGUAUAAUAUGUCAUUGAACCCCAAUCCUCAAUGCCAACCUCAUUAUGACUUUUGGAUCGCAAUUAUCAUGGCUAUCGAAAACUGACUAGGAGUCAUUGAAUAAGUGAGAACAAUUUGUAGCCUUUAUAGUUGUCAGCUUUCGCAUCGCCCGGUGUGUUUUGGGAAUCGCUUUGUGCAUUUGGUUGCCUUCCGUGCCUCUUGGCAUACGUUGGGUGGCACUUGCCGCGUGGUUUUAGGAAACAUCCACUGUAAAGGUGCAUGAGUGGUGUUUGGUUUGUUACGGGUGGUUGGCUCUUUGCUUGCGCAACAACUGCCACCCAACUUACCUCUUCAGAUGUUUGCCUAGGCUUGUAUAGCCUAAGCAGAUUGUGGGUUUCCUGUGUUGUCUACCUACGUCACGGAAUUGUCCUGAUCGAUCAAAGUUGCUUUCGUCUUGUGUCAUCUCGAUGGUAUAAGAUGAACCAUGAAGUUGUCUCUUUGCACCGCAUCGUUAAUGCAUGCGUUGAUGUAGUGGCCCAUUGAGCAUUGCUUGGUACCUUGGAUACGGAACCUUUGUGGGCAUGGGAUCUUAGGGAUCCUUGUUCUGCCUUCGUUAGUGUUGGCCCUUCUCUUAGAAUGACUGCCCAGCCGGAAUGGCAAAAGCCAUUGUGGAUGGGCAUCGUCAAAGAGGAAUGC
rnacentral:misc_RNA from 1 species